AACGAACGCUGGCGGCAUGCCUAAUACAUGCAAGUUGAACGCGGCCUUUGGGUCCAGUGGCGAACGGGUUGGUCACCCGUCGGAUGCUGCCCUCAUGGUGGGUCUACCUUCCCGCGAGGGGCGCCAAUACCGGACAAUGUCUUAGGACCAAUGAAUUAUCGCCUCAGGAUGGUUCCGUGUUGGAUUAGCUAGUUGGUCAGGUAAAAGCCUACCAAGGCGACGUUCCAUAGCUGGUGUGAGAGGAUGAUCAGCCACACUGGGACCGAGACACGGCCCAGACUCCUACGGGAGGCAGCAGUGGUGAAUAUUGGACAAUGGGCGAAAGCCUGAUCCAGCAAUGCCGCGUGAGUGAUGAAGGCCUUAGGGUUGUAAAGCUCUUUUACCCGGGAUGAUAAUGACAGUACCGGGAGAAUAAGCUCCGGCUAACUCCGUG
rnacentral:rRNA from 1 species